rnacentral:lncRNA from 1 species
GGUUUGUUGUGGAAGACCCACCCCCUCCUCUUCUAAAUUGCUUCUCCGACCUUUGGGUUCAGAGAAUUGGGAACCGGUCGUUCGCUGUCCUUUUUCGGUUCUUUGGUCAGAGGUCUGGGACUGCGACUUCUUGAUUACUUAUGUACCAUUUAUUUUCACUUGAAACCGGCAGCAAGUUAAGGUGGUUUAGAAUCUGUCCUGACGGGUGGCGUUUGGAAGCAGCACUUUACAAAACGCCUGGUCCUCUCCCUUCUUUGUCAAACCUGGUCAAAGUUAGGACUUGAGCUUUUUUUGGAGGAUCUGAGGAGCAGUGGGGAGUGGGGAAUUAGCCGCCCAAGUCCUUAAAGCUGUCACGUGCAUCAGUAUUUCCACCUCCAACGUCAGUCCAAUUCCUAUUAAUGCUUUGCUUUGUAUGGAUAGCUAAAGAUGUUUUAGAAGAUAAGGGUUGAGGCUACCGAUCCUAAGUAUUUGCAUUUUAACAUGGUGAUUUCUGAUAAAUAAAAGGAUAACCUUUCUGGGUUCUUAGGAGCAAAGAAGAUAAUGGCUGCGGAAUUGCUCUACAGCAUAAUGUAUAAGAAUUUCGUUGGGUCAUUAAUAAAUAAUGCAAUUAUUUUA